GCCUUUUUCAAUUAUGAGUGAAUCACAAAUCAAACUGACUUAAGAAACACAAAAGUAAGCAUGAAAUCUAUUGGCUCUUGAAUACCUGGGAAGUUCAAGGAUCCAAGGCAUGACUGGAGAGGAGAAAUCUGUCUUGGUGUUGGAGUGUCUUGGAAUUCGUGACAAGGACAAAAGUACACCAAGUAAACUAGUAAAAGAAAAGGACCAGCAACAAGGCACCAUCUUUGAAGCAAGAAACAGUCCCUUGCCAGACACCGAAUCUGCUAGCACCUUACUCUUGGACUUCCUCAACUGUGAACAAUACAUUUCUGUUGUUAACAAAUUACCCAUUGUAAGAUAUUUUGCCAUAGCAGCCAAAACAAACUAA
rnacentral:lncRNA from 1 species